CGAUUUUGAGUUUAACGCCGGCGACAUCGUGGCCGGCCAUGAAUUCCGUUUGGUUUUUCUCCUUUUGAAAUCUUGAUUCCGUUACAACCGUCUCCGGCAGCAAAAUCCAACCGCACACAAACAAAAUCCAACUUUACCAUGAUGUGACGCUUCGAAAGAAAAUCGGACUCAAUUUUCACCAUCGGUCGGAUCCUGCUGCUCCAAAAUGCAUACGUUUCAAUCCCACCCAUAAAAGUUCGAAACAAAAUGUUCGGAGUUUUUUUUUAAAUCACGGAGCAGCAGGAUUUCGACUGAAGAAACGCCCUUUUGGAAAAAACGACUCGGUCUGACAACAGCUUCUAAUAAAAAAACAAAGAAUGGAGAACAAAAUGAAACAAACCUCGAAAUAAUAAAUGCGAACACGAACCGAAAGAAGGAAGAUAUCAGAUAUGGGCGUCGGUGAACAAUAAACGGAUAAUUCAGUAUGACAAAGGCUCGGCCGUCAAGCGUGACAUUUUCGCAGCUCGGAAGCAUCGAAAAAACGACAGACAAAAAAAUGGACGUCACCUGAUACGUUCGGAUUUGUUACCUGUCCGGGAAGUGGUUGUUAUUUGUAGCUUCGUUGACUUUCUGAUGAGUAAAACAGAUAUUAUUCUUACCGGGCCCGCCCACCACAAAAACCAGGAAAUGUCCACCGUCGGAUACCGAGAAAAAAUUCACCCCUAAAAACCGGGCACCUCUUCGUCGACUACGGGCGUCCCCCCCCGCCCCUUCGCCGACUCCUACCCCGGCGAAAAA